AGUCAGAGAGAUCCAAGCAUGAGAAGGAAUGGACGUGUCUUGCUGGCUUUGAUGGGAACCCAAUCAGCCAACACCUUGAUUUUAGCCUUAUGAAACCUGGAGCCAAGAAACUAGCUGAGCCAAUCUAGAUGUCUGACCCACAGACUUGGCCAUAAAAAUGCAUUCUGAAAUGGGUGGUAACACCAAAUAUCACACUCUGGAACUUUUCCUCCAUAUGCAAAUCUAAGAUUCGCACCAACGGGUCAAAAAUGAAACAUCAAAAAUUAUAUGAGCUGAACCCUAACCCAAAUGGAGAAACGUAAAUGGAUCCUAUCUACAUGUAAGACCUAUCCAGACAUGAAAAGCAGGAGGCGGUUUAAAGACACCUCAAGUGAGAGUUAAAAAUAACUGUCUUCGAUCAAUGCACUGUGUCAUUGAAAAGAAGUUUAACUAAAUCACUAGUUAUGGAAAAACUGAACGAA